ACUCAUAAUCUUUUUUGCGACUUUUGAUUUGAAAUCAAAAUGAUUGUUUUUAUUAACAAUAUGAGUU
rnacentral:tRNA from 4 species